rnacentral:piRNA from 1 species
UUAUCUUUUUCCAUUAAUCAA